rnacentral:rRNA from 1 species
UAGUCCACGCCGUAAACGAUCAUCACUCGCUGUUGGCGAUACACAGUCAGCGGCCAAGCGAAAGCAUUAAGUGAUGCACCUGGGGAGUACGAUCGCAAGAUUGAAACUCAAAGGAAUUGACGGGGGCCCGCACAAGCGGUGGAGCAUGUGGUUUAAUUCGAUGAUACGCGAGGAACCUUACCAGGGCUUAAAUGUAGAUUGACAGGAUGGGAAACCAUUUUUUCUUCGGACAAUUUACAAGGUGCUGCAUGGUUGUCGUCAGCUCGUGCCGUGAGGUGUCAGGUUAAGUCCUAUAACGAGCGCAACCCCUAUCUUUAGUUGCCAGCGGUUCGGCCGGGGACUCUAAAGAAACUGCCAGCGCAAGCUGUGAGGAAGGUGGGGAUGACGUCAAAUCAUCACGGCCCUUACGUCCUGGGCUACACACGUGCUACAAUGGUAACGACAGAGGGCAGCCACUUGGCGACAAGGAGCGAAUCCCAAAACGUUAUCUCAGUUCGGAUUGG